rnacentral:rRNA from 1 species
UACAGAGGGUGCAAGCGUUAAUCGGAAUUACUGGGCGUAAAGCGCACGUAGGCGGUUUUUUAAGUCAGAUGUGAAAGCCCCGGGCUCAACCUGGGAAUUGCAUUUGAAACUGGGGAACUAGAGUGUGUGAGAGGGGGGUAGAAUUCCAAGUGUAGCGGUGAAAUGCGUAGAGAUUUGGAGGAAUACCAGUGGCGAAGGCGGCCCCCUGGCACAAUACUGACGCUCAGGUGCGAAAGCGUGGGGAGCAAACAGG